GUGAGGCUACAGCUAUACGCUACGAGUUUUACUAUGGUUCUGCAGAAAAACCGGCAUGACCAGCAGAGAAAUGUGUUUACUCCUCGGAGCGACCGGUGUUGGAAAGACGUUGUUGCUCAAACGUCUACAGAAGUUUAUCGUACAUGGUUUAGAUGAAUUAGGGACACCACCUUCAACUCUUCCCACAGUAGGAACCAAUCUGACAGACCUAACCGUGAAGAAGAAGAAGGUGACUGUGAGAGAGCUGGGAGGCUGCAUGGGCCCUAUAUGGCCCAGUUACUUCAAAGACUGCUCCUCUGUCAUUUUCAUGGUGGAUUCGGCCAACAUUGCUCAGAUAUCCUCCUCCUGUAUCCAGCUGCUGUCAGUACUCUCAGCUGAGCCUCUGAGCAAGGCCUCUGUGCUUAUUCUCUUCAACAAGAGGGACAUGCCUUGCACUAUGAACCUUAUAGAGAUAAAGUCACUGUUCAGGAUGGAUGACAUUGUUGCAUCUGCGACUCAGCCAAUCACAACACUGGAAGUCAGUGCCAGAUCUGGAGAGGGACUUAAAGAGGUGAUGAGCUGGCUGGAGUCCGUCACAGUCAAGUGACAUACGUUUACUGACUACUUCAUUAGGCAAAGGCCAUACUCGGCCUACAGGACUGAGGCUGGAGACGUUGUCCUGUGGUGGAUCCCAGGGGUUGGCUGGAGGUUCCCAUGGUGGGGGAGGGCUGUUUGAAGGUGGAGGUACCAUCCAUGGAGAAUCAGCUCUUGGAACGCGGCUGCCUUCUUAAUUAACACACAAAUAAAAGAGUCUGUUAGCCGAGCUUUCUGGAGCAGGGACUCAUCUCCUUGGCGGCUGAGCUCCUCCUUUCAACAGAUGAAAGACACACUUACACAACAGCCCCUGCUACUCACAGCGGAAGGAGGAAGGAGAGCUUCUGCACCUGCCGCCCUCAUCACUCGGGUAUCCUGGGUAAGGAGGAGGUGUUGGGCAUUAUGAGAAAAGGAAGGGGCUCCACCUCCCCUGCUGGUCUGCCCUGGUUACAUCAUUAUGACAGCGGUGGUGGGCCUCGCAUAACUAACGAAACACCCAGUGUCCUGUACAUAUGCCUGAACAUUCUUUGUUUCCCAACAAAGGCGUGAUGAGGUCAGGACAGGGGGGACAUGCAGGCGAGGGCUGGGAAAACAGAGGGGGAGGAGAGAGGACAGCCAAUGAUGACGUCAUGCAAGAAAGGCAAUCAGACUUCAAGUGUGUGUGCACAUGUAUUACUUCUGGAGACAUUAAUCUAUUCACACACUCUUAUACCUCCUGGGGACACCUCCAUUACAGUGAGUGUGUAUAAUGUAAAUUACUACGCUGAAAGGAAGACUUAGAUUAUGGUGGUAUUAGCCAUAGUAAGUCUCAGGGAUAUUAACAUGACAUCCUAUUUCAUCAAAAAAAGCUGGAUGUCUGUGUCAAAUGUUUUUGUUUUUUUAAAUUGUAUAGUGUAAUAAUGCAAAGAAUUUAAAUAUAAUUUAACCAUAAAGUUUAUUAAAACUGUUACAGACAUUAUUGAAACUAAGAAUUUGGCACACAAGCCUAAUUCCCAAAAGUUACCAUACUCUGUAAAAUGUAAAUAAACACAGAAUAAAAACAUAUUUUAUUCACAGUAGAACAUAGAACACAUAUCAAAUGUACAAUUAUAAGAACAAUAUUAGCUCCACUUUGAAUUUCAUGGCAGUCUGUAAAAAAUAUCUGGAACUGAAGACAUCAGUCGCUGGACUUUUGGGAGAGGAAUGUUGUUCCAUUCUUGUCCGACAGCCCUUGGUCUUGUUUGCCAUAUUUUAUGUUACAAAGAUGGCAGUGUGUCUCAGUGAUGUUCACAUAUGGCUUCUUCUUUGCAUGACAGAGCUUCAACCUACAUGUGUGAAUGGCACAUGUAGGUACUUCCAGAUUUCUGAAAGCGUUCCUGAGCUCAUGCACUGAUUUCUAAAACAAAAUCAUGCCUGUUUUUAAUGCAGUGCUAUCUGAGGGCAGAUCAUGAACAUAUAGUAUUGCUUUUCAGCUUUGUCCACUUCGCGUAGAGAUUUCUCCAGAUUCCCUGAAUCUUUUGAUGAGCUCAUGCUCUAUAGAUGAUGUGAUUUUCACAGCUUUUUCAAUUUUACACCAAGAAACAUUAUUCUGAAAUUAACAGGCAGAC